rnacentral:rRNA from 1 species
UACGAAGGGGGCUAGCGUUGUUCGGAAUCACUGGGCGUAAAGCGCACGUAGGCGGAUCUUUAAGUCAGAGGUGAAAUCCCAAGGCUCAACCUUGGAACUGCCUUUGAUACUGGGGAUCUUGAGUUCGGGAGAGGUGAGUGGAACUGCGAGUGUAGAGGUGAAAUUCGUAGAUAUCGCAAGAACACCAGUGGCGAAGGCGGCUCACUGGCCCGAUACUGACGCUGAGGCAC